rnacentral:rRNA from 1 species
GAUGAACGCUGGCGGCGUGCCUAAUACAUGCCAGUCGAGCGAACGGACGAGAAGCUUGCUUCUCUGAUGUUAGCGGCGGACGGGUGAGUAACACGUGGAUAACCUACCUAUAAGACUGGGAUAACUUCGGGAAACCGUAGCUAAUACCGGAUAAUAUUUUGAACCGCAUGGUUCAAAAGUGAAAGACGGUCUUGCUGUCACUUAUAGAUGGAUCCGCGCUGCAUUAGCUAGUUGGUAAGGUAACGGCUUACCAAGGCAACGAUGCAUAGCCGACCUGAGAGGGUGAUCGGCCACACUGGAACUGAGACACGGUCCAGACUCCUACGGGAGGCAGCAGUAGGGAAUCUUCCGCAAUGGGCGAAAGCCUGACGGAGCAACGCCGCGUGAGUGAUGAAGGUCUUCGGAUCGUAAAACUCUGUUAUUAGGGAAGAACAUAUGUGUAAGUACUGUGCACAUCUUGACGGUACCUAAUCAGAAAGCCACGGCUAACUACGUG